GACCAACCUAGACCCUCCGAGGAGAUGACCCUAAGUAAACUUAGAGCUCCAGCGCUGACACAGAAGUCUCGAGGAACGACUCGACCUGCCACGGAUACAUACCACGCGGAACCGCCAUGGCAGCUACUCAGCAAUACAGCAAGUAUAUAUUCCACUGUACCAUUAUUUACACAUAUCACACUAGACUCAAACUCCGAGACAUACAAGGACACUCAGGGGAAACACAAACCUAACGCGGAUAGCGGCACAGGUAGCAUUCCUUAUAGACCUUCCCUUUAUGAAAAUAUAUAGUCACAACGUAAGGUGGCUGAACACCCCUGUUAAACGCCACCUUCUAUUACAAGACCUUCAAAAAUCCCAACCAGACAUGGUAUGUCUCCAGGAGACGCACUUCACCAAACCAUACAUCCUUAAACCCCUCGCAUACCCAUAUCAACAACACGCCACAGCAAAAUCUAAAACGAAAGGGGUCUCUGUGCUAGUCAGCAACCGAGUAGCAUUCACAGAACAUGACCUAGUCAUAGACGAGGAAGGCAGAUAUAUCAUACUGGUAUGUACCAUCAAUGAUAUUAUCUACACCAUAGUAAAUGUAUACGCACCUAACUCAGAACAACGCAACUUCUUACAUAGAACAUUAGCUAAAAUAGCACCUAUUCAGAAGGGAAUGCUAAUAAUCUGUGGAGAUUUUAACCACACUCUAGACCCCGGAUUAGACUCAUCCAAAGGUUCUAAAACGCAGGGAAACAACCCAGCCAGGAGACAAUGCACAACAUAUCAGAGACUGCUAGUCGAACAUAACCUCUAUGACACGUGGAGAGUUCUCCACCCCGAGGAGAGAGAUUUCACGUUCUUCUCCUCGGUUCACAACUCCUACACACAAAUUGUCAGGUUCCUCACUGAAGGAAAACACCCAACGCAGGUACUCAAAUGCUCAAUAGAGACUAUCACGUGGUCAGACCACGCACCUAUCACUAUGGAACUAAAGGACAAAUUUGAGAGUCACAACAGAAGCCCCUGGCGGCUGAACGAAGCACGCUUACACAACAAAACGUUCACAGACCACAUAGAAAACACACUUAAAAACUGCUUUAAAGAAAACACCACACCAGAGAUCUCGGCGGAGAUCACCUGGCUAGCCCACAAACCCAUCAUACGCCAGGUGCCAAUAGACUAAAAACUAUCCUACCGGACCUCAUACACGACGACCAAAUGGGAUUUGUGAGGGGUAGACAGGGCUCAGAUAACACCCGCAAAGUACUAAAUCUCAUGCAUAGCUCUAGAAAACUGGGAAUGGAGGGUCUCUUCGUGUCCCUAGACGCGGAGCAGGCCUUUGAUAGACUCAACUGGACCUUUUUAAACAGAGUACUCCACAGAUUCGGCUUCCCCUCGAAAUUCGUGGCAGCAGUAGACGCCCUUUAUAACAAACCCUCUGCACAAGUCCUAUACGCAGGAUUCCCAUCACGGACCAUAAACAUCUCUAAUGGCUCCAGACAGGGAUGUCCCCUCUCCCCUCUGCUCUAUGUACUGGCCCUAGAACCACUAGCAUCCAAAAUAAGAUCAGACCCGAACAUCCAUGGUAUUCCCCUAGGCGACAAAGAAUUCAAACUAAACAUAUUUGCAGAUGACGUUCUUCUCACCUUAACUCAGCCGCUCAUAACCAUGCCCAACUUAAUGCGACAAAUAGAUCUCUUUGGCCACCACUCUUACUAUAAAUUAAAUGCCUCCAAAACACAGGCAUUAACGAUAGGAGUGACUAAAGAGGCGAGAAACAGAUUGAAGGAUGCUUUCCCCUUAGACUGGAGGUCAGACUACUUAACAUACCUAGGACUCAAACUCACAAAAAAACAUGCAGAACUCCCCCACGCAAACUAUGUAAAACUCCUAAAAGACUUCGACAACACCCUGAAAUCAUGGGAGGGGAAAUUCCUCUCAUGGUUGGGGCGUAUAGCAGCAUUCAAAAUGUCAUUGCUCCCAAAACUAUUAUACCUCUUCAGGACACUACAAAUACCUCUACCAAACACCUACCUCAAGUCGUCACCUCACUAUUCAUGAAAUUUACAUGGCAACACAAAAAGAGCCGGAUAGCCGCAAAGAUCCUGCAGAGGCGGGUAGCAGACGGAGGCCUAGGUAUACCAAACCUGUAUCAUUACCACAAGGCAGCGAUACUAAGCACUAUGUUAGCAGCUCACGACUCCCAUUACACCCCACAAUGGGCAGUGAUAGAAGCCUUUUGGCUUAACAUAGACCACAUCCGUCCUAUCUUCUGGCCGGACAGUACUCGGAGACCAAAACCAUUCCAAGGCCUCCCCACUACUCGGUUGCUGAUAGACACAUGGGACGGGGUGAGGAAAACUUUAGUUACCCACCCAAAGAUACCGAUGGCACCACUGCAAUCCAUAAGCCUGAUGAUUCCCACCUUUAACCAUAAGCCGUGGACGGACCAAGGCGUCACCCACGUACUCCACCUACACAAAGGGGAACACCUCAAAUCCUUUACAAGUCUACAGGAACAAUUUGACCUACCCGCAAAAUUACUAUUCCCCUACCUCCAAGUCAAAUCCCUACUAACAAACAACCCACCCACAAACCCUGAGAAGGGGUCACAAGCACCAACAUCUAAGUUCGAAAAUAUUUGCCUAUCAAACAAGCCCAACGUCAAAUCUCUCUCCACGUGCUACCACUUGAUCCUAAACAAUCACCCACUGACACAGGAAUACUACCAAAAGGCAUGGCACACAGAUCUGGGCACGGAGUUAAGCCCAGAACAGUGGAAAAGAGCUUACACGGCACACAAAGGCAUGACAUCAUGUGCCCAACACCUAGAAAUCCAACGGAAAAUACUAUACCAUUGGCACUUAGUGCCGGAAAAAAUACACAAAAUUUGGCAUACCUCCACAAACAUAUGUUGGCGAUGCGAUAAAGAAGUGGGCACGAUGAUCCACAUAUGGUGGACAUGUCCCCCACUGGCACCUCUCUGGACACAAGCCCUCCGUAUCAUGUUGGACAUGCUAGGCCACCAGGAGGAAAAAAAUCCUGUACAAUGCAUGUUGUACAUAUUCCCUGAGAGGAUGCCCAAAGCACACCAGGCACUAAUAUACCAUACACUUGCAUCAGUACAUAUCCUAAUAGCGAGUAACUGGAAGUCCAAGGACACACCGUCACAUACACAUCUAAUGAACCAAAUUGCACUCAAUUCGACAUAUGAGGCCAUGCACCAACACCAAUUUGGCCCAAGACCUAUGCUAGCUAAGGCAAAACACAUAUGGGACACGUAUCAAAACCACACUGACAACACCGUAACACAAUAGCUUCCAGCUGGCGAGGAUGUUAUCCGUGGUGUGGCACUGAGGAGAUAAAGCCCUGGGCCACGAACAAUCAAGAUCUGAGAGACAGAAGACACUUGCUGGUCAUCCGCUCUUAAGUACGCAGGAAUUAUUGCCAAAUCACCUGGGAAACCCAGGGUCAUCCCUCUACCAACCCCCUUCUCUUCUUCUCACUCCAUAUCUAUACCCCCUGUAACUCUAUUCUCCCCACAAAAUGUUUGAGACAUGUAGUAUGCAUGAUUUAUGUACCUAACGUCAUUAAGCAGAACUGAAAUACCUAAUCUAUUUGUAACCGAAACAUUCUAUCAUAUAUACAAUCGCGACUAAGGUAUCCAAAAUGCACGCGCAAUUGUAAUGCAACUACGUGUCGGAAUAAAAAUUGUCAAAUAAAAAAAAAAAAAUGUCUAUAUUGCGGGAGAGCCAUCGUGGCUAAAAACGUACUUGAAUUCGUAAAAGAGUUCGUGUAGUUCUGUAUUGUAUGGUUAUAACCUGUAACUGAAAUCUUCAGUAUCCCCUAAAGGAGGAAGAAAGGGAAGGAGAGGUCUAUAACCUACGAAAAGAGGUCUGAAAAGCAAAUGAUGCUCCUAAUUGAAAACCUGUAAACAGCGGCGUACAUACCGCGGUCGCAGGGGUCUGUGACCGGGUAUCCGCCGCCAUCAUCUUCUGCGGCCCCGGUCCACGCGGCAAACCGCCAGGGCCACCAUCAAAGUGGUCCAUCGGGUGGCCCAUGCUGUCAGGGCCACCUGAUGGAUAUGGAUUGCAAGGGGGCCCAGUCAGCGCUGGACGCUUUAACAGCGCGACCCUGCCCCACGGGUCAUUUUUGCACCGGGGCCCCAUGGUUUGUGUGUACGCCACUGCCUGUAAAAUAACAUGAUUUGAUAAGACAUAAGCCAUAUAUAAUAUAGAAUGCACACUAUAACCACUUCAGUCGUUGAGUACAAUAAAACUUUAAUCAGUAGAAAAAUCACAAUACCAAACAGAAUACAAUAAUAGACAAAGUUAACAGAAAUAGACGCAGACAGUAAUGCAAAAGUACUGUAGUAAAAAUAUUUCAAGCCCCAAGACAGAAACAUAAGUCACCAACUCCCCUAACGUUUCGUGACCAACUGGUUGCCUUUAUCAAGGGUACCGGUAUCCAUGAUCACAUGUGUCUGCUUAUAAAGCCCUCAUACAGCUGAUGGCCAUCAGUUCAAAAUUGUCACCACUCCCGGAAGUGACAUCCUCACCUCAGGUACUGGUACAAUAUUCCAAGUUAAUAUGCAAUAUAUAUAUAUAUAUAUAUAUAUAUAUAUAUAUAUAUAUAUAUAUAUAUAUACACAAUUAUUAAACUUACUAAUAUUGUGUGUGUAUAAAGAACGAAGCGACUAGGUAAAGGCUAAUAUUAUUUCCGUGUUGAUUAUCACUGUACAUACGCCCUGGCGUGUGAUAGCGCCAUCUUGUUCAUUGGCACUAAAGAAACCUUGCGUGACCUUCUACCGACUGGACUACACUAUAGGAGACUAUAGUGUACCGUUAAGAAAGGACUAACUAAGGUCAGUAGCACAUAUUUUGAGGUGAAUAUUUCUUCCUCCUUUUUGUUUUUGUUUUCUGUGGUAAAUUUGAAAGGUUUCUGGUUAACUGAGGGGAAUAGUGGAGAGAGUAGAGAAAGAAGUAGAAUAGAAUUAAAAGAAAUCAAGAUAAAACAACGUAUUGAAUAUUCCGAGUCUAAGAGGCAAAAAUGAAGGAGAAUUUAUUAUAUAGAUUAUUUAUUUCUUUUCUGUUUCCCCACCUCCUCUUUGAUACAAUCUUUGGUUAUCCAGAGUAAUAAAUGAGGAGAGAUAUUAAGGACAAAAGAGUUUCAGAUUGCUGAAGAUCCUAAAUUUUCCUCUUCCUUUUCUCCCUCUCCCCGAAAGGACUCCUAAUCCUGCUGUAGUCGCAGGAAAAAUCAGACUGGAUGGGUAGUGUGACGCACCGCCUGGCCCCCCCGACCGGGUACCUCAGUCUAUUGCUGCUUCCUAGUACUUGUGAAUACCAUAAUCACUCCACUUGAACACCAUAACCACCAUAGACCCCACGAACCGCCGCAGCUUGGUUGGGGUCUCGCCGUCCUCCACCCAUCCUGGACACAAGACCAGGAUCCAGCUUCCAGGGGAUAGUUGCUCAGGUUCCUGGAACCGCCACCUCCUUCCUGGAUCCGAUGGGAAAAUUAGCUCUGACACCUCCAGGCUCUGGAGCCAAAUAGGGAAUUCGCUCUAGUCCUUACAAGGACUUUCCCAGUUGAAUCUUCUGCAAGCUGGAACAGCAGACUCAGAUGCAAAUCUUCUUUCCCUCCAAUAACUGGACGACACACAGAUUUAGAGUGUAAGCAGGAAGCUCUAGUUUAAUGGGACACACUGGCCUUUUAUACAAUUUUCCAGGCCAGAGGAACACCCCCUGGACCUGAUGGGGCACAGGAACACAAAGGACAUAAACCAUCAGAACAAACAUACAGACUGUGACACGCCUAUGUACAGCACACAAUCACUCCCCUCUGCUGAGGAGAUAAUUGAGUAAAGUCCUGUUAGGAAACUCCAUUAUCUCCAGGCAGAAAAACCACAUUUUCACAAAGUUCAUAAAGUACCCCACAAUCCAACAUAUCCCCAUAAGUCACAUCCCCUGAUAGCCCCGAUCUGGGUGAACAACAUAUUCAAAAAUCACCCAGAUUGGUUCAGGAAUUUCCUGGAAGUCAUAGUAUUGACCGACCGCAAGCAUGGCCCCAUGCCCAAAACAGUUCCAGGCAAAUCAGUGCUAACAGUCGGUCAAGUUUGGUAGUCUUUUACAGGUUUCCCUGCAGGGCCCAUAGUCUGUGGGCAGGAGGCUGGCAAGUAGGCUCCUCCAGGAGCUCGUGGCAAUCUCACUUGAAAAGGGGAGUUUGACACAGAUAGACAUUUUGUUCUGAUUAAGUAUAUUUGUCGAGUGAAUGGUGUUUUUUCUGGGUCUCCUCAGACUGAAUGUCUGGGAGUACAAGACGAAACAAAGUGUGAAUGGACACAGGGAAACUAUUGGAAAGUAAUACAUGAGGGUCGGAAAAGGAAAAAUCAAACUAUACAUAUAUGUGUUUGAGAUUUCUUACUAUCAAUACAAAGCGCCUGAAUUCUCCAUACAAAAGAUGUUUGUAUAAUUUAAUGAUAUAGAUGUGGCCUUUAUCCAGGAAACACAGUGGAUUGAGGAUCCUAAAAAGUUAUGUAAAUUUACUAGAUUUCCAAUGAUUAUCUCUGCAAACUUAAAAAAUCUAAAGAAAAAAAAGCGGGGGUUUCAAUAAUUUUUUCUGGUAAACUAAAAGUCGAAUUAUUGUACCAAGACAAUGAUCCAAAUGGGCAUUACCAAGUAGCUGUAGAUAAUAUUAACGAUAUAACAUAUACCAUGAUAAAUGUAUACGCUCCAAACCAAGAAACCAUUAAAGGGACACUAUAGUCAACUGAACAACUUUAGCUUAAUAAAGCAGUUUUGGUGUAUAGAACAUGCCCCUGCAGCCUCACUGCUCAAUCCUCUGCCAUUUAGGAGUUAAAUCCCUUUGUUUAUGAACCCUGGUCACACCUCCCUGCAUGUGACUUGCACAGCCUUCAAUAAACACUUCCUGUAAAGAGAGCCCUAUCUAGGCUUUCUUUAUAGCAAGUUCUGUUUAAUUAAGAAUGUCUUAUCCCCUGCUAUGUUAAUAACUUGCUAGACCCUGCAAGAGUCUCCUGUCUUUGAUUAAAGUUCAAUUUAGAGAUUGGGAUACAAUUAUUUAAGGUAAAUUACAUCUGUUUGAAAGUGAAACCAGUUUUUUUUUUUUCCAUGCAGGCUCUGUCAAUCAUAGCCAGGGGAGGUGUGGCUAGGGCUGCAUAAACAGAAACAAAGUGAUUUAACUCCUAAAUGACAGUGAAUUGAGCAGUGAAAUUGCAGGGGAAUGAUCUAUACACUAAAACUGCUUUAUUUAGCUAAAGUAAUUUAGGUGACUAUAGUGUUCCUUUAAAUGUAUUAACAACCUAUAUUCUAAAUUGGAAAAGUUUGUUGUGGGCAUCUUGAUAAUGGGAGGAGAAAAACAACUCAGGGCUAUGUUUACUAGUGAAAGUAAAAGCAUUUCCACACGCACAAUGUGAAGGGAACUCAAGGGAUUGGGACUGAACAGCUGUGUAGCCUUAAGAGAACCACUAAUCAGUGAGGCUAAUCGGGGGGGAAAAAGGCUUCAAUUUACUAGGGAGCAUAAAGAUUGGACUCUGGAGCAAUGGAAGAAGGUCAUGUGGUCUGAUGAGCCCAGAUUUACCCUGUUCCAGAGUGAUGGGUGCAUCAGGGUAAGAAUAGAGGCAGAUGAAGUAAUGCACCUAUCAUGCGUAGUGCUUACUGUACAAGCCUGUGGGGGCAGUGCUAUGAUCUGGGGUUGCUGCAGUUGGUCAGGUCUAGGUUCAGCAACAUUAUGAGCCCAAAGAAUGAGGUCAGCUGACUACCUGAAUGACCAGGUUAUUCCAUCAAUGGAUAAUUUUCUUCCCUGUUGGCACGGGCAUAUUCCAAGAUGACAAUGGCAGGAUUCAUCGGGCUCAAAUUGUGAAAGAGUGGUACAGGGAGCAUAAGACCUCAUUUUCACACAUGGAUUGGCCACCACAGAGUCCAGACCUUAACCCCAUUGAGAAUCUUUGGGAUGUGCUGUAGAAGGCUUUGUGCAGUGGUCAGACUCUCCCAAGAUCAAUACAAGAUCUUGGUUAACAAUUAAUGUAACGCUGGACAUAAAUCUUGUGACAUUGCAGAAGCUUAUCGAAACAAUGCGACAGCGAAUGCAUGCCAUAAUCAAAGCUAAAGGCGGUCCAACAAAAUAUUAGAGUGCGUGACUUUUUUUAAUAAUCAAAAGAAUGAAUACUAUAUAAAACGUAAACAUAAAAAAAUAAUAUAGAACAUUAAUAAAAACAAAAACAACUUCAAUUGAAAUGGAUAAAUAAUUAGAUGCCUGGGUGACCACAGAUCCACGGAAUCAGGGAGAAUCUAGUCUAGAAUCUUAUCUAAAACAAGUAUAAUCUUUCUCUUCAACCACACCAUUGGGAAAUAGUGUUUAAUUUGUAUAUCCAAUACAUCUCUCCUACAUUUGAAGAUUUGUGCUCAAUCACACCCCCUCAGUGGGCGAUGUCCCAUUUCCUUGUAAAUGUCUGGCUACAGACCAUGUCAUAAGUUGAUUCCUAAUGGCACUUUUGUGCUCCCCUAUACGUAAAAUCUAAAUUCUUGUGGUCUAUCCAACAUAUCCUUUGCCACAAGGUCUUUUUUUUUUUUUUUUAAAUGAAACCUACCAUGUAAUCUGAUUGGCAGUUUAUGAAGGACUGUAACUCAAUCUUGUAACCCAAACUAAAAUGUCAAAAGAAUUGGUCUUGAUAGCAUUAUUACAGUUAGCACACCUACCACAUUUAAACAUUUGCUUGGGAGGGAGGGGCAUCCACGAAUCAACUUUCAUUUCAUCAAUGUUAGCCCUGACAUGUAUGAGAUCAUUCCUGAGUCUUUUAGAUUUUUUUUAAAAGCCAUUAUUGAAACCACUCCACAUGUCUUCUGUAGAUCAGCAUCCCCACUUAGUAGGUGCCAGUGUCUCCUAAUUAUUUGUUUAGGUUUGGUUGAAAAUAUGUGAACAAAAGGUAUACGUUUAGGUUGUUGUCUACUCUCUUGUAAACCAUUACCCUGUGUUAGUGUGUAUGUGACCCAUUCCUUUGCAUUCUGUAGUACACUCCGGAAAAAAAUUCUCAUCAUUCCCUCCACCUGUUUGACUCUGUUACUGGAAUCCCUAAAAAUCCACAUGGGACACUCCGUUCCCUUUGGAACGAACAUACAAUAAUUUAUUUUUGACUAGCCUUUGGGCACUAGUCCUUAAACACGUGAUAACAACCAUAAAAAUAUAAACGUACAUAAAGUGAAGAACAAGCAACAAUAAUUUAUCAAAUAUAUAACAAAAUUUAAAUUUUCCAAAUUAUGGGGGGAGAAAACACAAAAAAAUUGUAAUUUUUGCACUUUCCUAAUUUGCAUAUUUUAAUUCUACAAAUCAAUUAAUUUUCCAGUUUCCACCAACAGAGGGCAAUGGAGAGACAGAAAGAAUCACUUUUUAAACAAGGAUAUCCCAACUUAAAAACCCAAACCGGUGGGGUUGUAGUCCAAAUGGCCCUCAUUUAUCUGCCUCCCCAAAGCAGAACCCCAUUCCAGACCAGGGCCCAUAGUCAGUGGGAAGAAGGCUUAUCUGUGGUCCUCUCCAAGUACCAAUGUAAUGUAGGAUUCCGUUGCAUAUCUAACCUGUGCCUCUACAUGAUCCAGGGCUAUGCUUAAAGGACCACUCUAGGCACCCAGACCACUUCAGCUUAAUGAAGUGGUCUGGGUGCCAGGUCCAGCUAGGGUUAACCCUUUUUUUUUUUUUUUUUUUUAAUAAACAUAGCAGUUUCAGAGAAACUGUUAUGUUUAUAAAUAGGUUAAUCCAGCCUCUAAAGCCUCUAGUGGCUGUCUCAUUGACAGCCGCUAGAGGCGUUUGCGUGCUUCUCACUGUGAAAAUCACAGUGAGAAGACGCAAGCGGCCAUAGGAAAGCAUUAUGAAUGGUUUCCUAUGAGACUGGCUGAAUGGUCGUGCAGCUCCUGCCGUGCAUGCGCAUUCAGCCGAAGAGGAGGAGGAGAGCUCCCCGCCCGGCGCUGGAGAAAGAGGUAAGUUUAACCCCUUACUCUCCAUCCAGCCCGGCGGGAGGGGGUCCCUGAGGGUGGGGGCACCCUCAGGCCACUAUAGUGCCAGGAAAACGAGUAUGUUUUCCUGGCACUAUAGUGGUCCUUUAAGUCUAUGAGGUGAUAUAGUAAAACAAAGUGGAGGGCAAAACAUAACAACUAGUGAUGUCCCGAAUGGUUCGCGGCGGACGGUGAACAUAUGCGCUGUUCGGUCUGCCCCCUAUGUCAUCAUUGAGUAAACUUUGACCCUGUACCUCACAGUCAGCAAACACAUUCCAGCCAAUCAGCAGCAGACCCUCCCUCCCAGAUCCUCCCACCUCCUGGACAGCAUCAAUUUUACAUUCAUUGUGAAGCUGCAUUCUUAGUGAGCUGUCCAGAAGGUGGUAGGGUCCUGGGAGGGAGGGUCUGCUGCUGAUUGGCUGGAAUGUGUCUGCUGACUGUGAGGUACAGGGUCAAAGUUUACUCAAUGCUGACGAAUAGGGGGCGGACCGAACAGAGCAUAUGUUCGCCAUCCGCGGCGACCCGUUCGGUACAUCACUAAUAACAACCCGUUACAGAAACAGGACCUGGGAUAACAAUGACAACUUUAUUAUUCCUUAACCAUUCAUGAUGGAAUUAUUCCAUCAUGGAUGUCCUAUGUAUUCCGUCACGGAUGAUCUAGAUCCUAUUUAAAUUGUAGGGCACCCCACCUGCAAUAAAAAUCAUUAGAAAAAUAAAGGUUCUACUUCUAAUUUUUCCAGUGUAGAAACUCCAUAGGCCAUUCCUUUUUCUGUAUAUCCAGUUUUAGACUAUAAAGCCACAGUUAAGUUACACGUGUGUAAUGUUCUUAUUGCAUGUUAUUGUACCUGCUUUCCAUUCACAAUGCCAUUGUGAUGCAUUAUAUUGUCGCAGUAAAAUAACAUUAAUAAAACAAAACAGGAAGAGAGAUCACUGCUUAAGUAACCACCUGAGAUAUCUUUAGCUAGCCUGGUAAGUCCACUGCGAUUAAGGUAAUGAUCUAAUUUUAAGUGUUUUCUUCCCAGUAGAUGGUUCCAUAAACAGAAAUGAAAUCUGUGAAUUGUACACUUCAGUUUCUUCUCCGGAUUAUAUAACCAAAGAUAACGAAAUCACAAGUAAUCGAAAAAUAAACUGUGUGGCAGUCAGUACACCAAGCAGUAAAUCUUUGAGUCUUGAAACUACAGAAUCCGAGGAAGUAAAUCUAAGAGAUAUUAAUUCGCCCAUAGAACAUAUACAGACUGAAGAUCCAUCUCCUGAUAUUAAGGAGGAAUCAGACUCGUGUGAGGAAGGAAAUCUCCCAGACACAGACAUUUAUACACCCACAGAAGAUGCACAGAUAGAAUAUCCAUCUACUCUUAUCAAGGAGGAAUCCGUCUCAUUGGAAGAAACAAAUGUUGCUGAAGCAGCCAUUUAUACAAUCAAUAGAGAUAUACAAAUGGACUAUACAUCAAAGUGUGAAUCUGCAUCAACUGAAAAACAAAUUCUCAUAAGCAAUAAUAUUUAUACAGGUACAGACCAUAUCCUUAUUAAGGUAGAAUCUGCAUCAUGUGAAGCCAGCACUUUCAACAGCUCUGAGAUUUAUACACCCACAGGCGAUAAACAUAUAGACUAUACGUCAAAUAAUGAAUCCCCAUCACAUAAACAUGGAAAUCUCAGAUAUUCUGACCUUUAUACACCCAGAGAAUAUACACAGACAGAGUAUCUAUCUACUCAUGUUAAGGAAGAAUCAGCUUCAUAUCAAGAUGUAGACCUUCUUACCCCCACUCAUCAUACUGAAACACAAAACAAAGGAAAUAGUAACUGCUUUGAUGGUGCUAAGGUUUCAUCUACCAAUUCAGAGCGUGUUAAACAUAAGCGUGUCAACAAAGGCAAUACAUUGACCAGUAAAGAUUACAUUGGACAUGAGUGUUUUAAGCAGAAACCACAUUUUAUCACACAUAAGAGAACUCCCAAAGAGAAUAUAAUUUCUUGUUCUGAAUGUGGGAAAUGUUUUGCUAAAAUGUCACGUCUUAGGAUACAUAUGAAGAUUCACACAGUAGAAAAAACAUUUUCAUGUUCAGAAUGUGGAAAACACUUUGCUCGUAUGUCAACUCUCAACACACAUAUGAGGUUUCACUCAGGAGAAAAAACAUUUCCAUGUUUACAAUGUGGAAAAUGUUUCAUUUAUAAUUCAUAUCUUAAGAUUCAUCAAAAGAGUCACACAGGAGACAAACCAUUUUCUUGUUCUGAAUGUGAGAAAUGUUUUGCUCACAAGUCGACUCUUAAGACUCAUCAAAAGAGUCACACAGGAGAGAAACCAUUUUCUUGUUCUGAAUGCGAGAAAUGUUUUUCUCGCAAGUCAACUCUUAAGACUCAUCAAAAGAGUCACACAGGAGAGAAACCAUUUUCUUGUUCUGAAUGCAAGAAAUGUUUUUCUCGCAAGUCAACUCUUAAGAAACAUCAGAUGAUUCACACAGGAGAGAAACCAUUUUCCUGUUGUGAAUGUGGGAAACGCUUUUCUCAAAUGUCAAAUCUUCAGCAGCAUAUGAAGAUUCAUUCAGCAAAUUUAUAGAAAACUAAAGUAAAAAAGAAAAUAUUACUCAACUCUUAAUCAAUCCAAGCUAAAUAUCUUUACAUAGGGGACGUUACCAGUUAUGAUGUCUCAACAAAUUGUCUUUCUUAAAUGAGCACUCCAGGCUAAUAAAAAGUGUUGUUGUUUAGCCUGUUUAGAACUAGAUGUAUUUUCUUCUAGGCUAACCAACUAGUCUACCCCUAGGGCAGAAGCCCUCAG